AUUGAACGCUGGCGGCAUGCCUUACACAUGCAAGUCGAACGGUAACAGGUCUUCGGAUGCUGACGAGUGGCGAACGGGUGAGUAAUACAUCGGAACGUGCCUAGUAGUGGGGGAUAACUACUCGAAAGAGUGGCUAAUACCGCAUGAGAUCUACGGAUGAAAGCAGGGGAUCGCAAGACCUUGUGCUACUAGAGCGGCCGAUGGCAGAUUAGGUAGUUGGUGGGAUAAAAGCUUACCAAGCCGACGAUCUGUAGCUGGUCUGAGAGGACGAUCAGCCGCACUGGGACUGAGACACGGGCCAGACUCCUACGGGAGGCAGCAGUGGGGAUUUUGGACAAUGGGCGCAAGCCUGAUCCAGCAAUGCCGCGUGCAGGAUGAAGGCCUUCGGGUUGUAAACUGCUUUUGUACGGAACGAAAAGCCCUGGGUUAAUACCCUGGGGUCAUGACGGUACCGUAAGAAUAAGCACCGGCUAACUACGUGCCAGCCGCCGCAGUAAGAC
rnacentral:rRNA from 1 species